GAUGGCGACCGGCGCACGGGUGAGUAACACGUAUCCAACCUGCCGAUGACUCGGGGAUAGCCUUUCGAAAGAAAGAUUAAUACCCGAUGGCAUAGUUCUUCCGCAUGGUGGAACUAUUAAAGAAUUUCGGUCAUCGAUGGGGAUGCGUUCCAUUAGGUUGUUGGCGGGGUAACGGCCCACCAAGCCUUCGAUGGAUAGGGGUUCUGAGAGGAAGGUCCCCCACAUUGGAACUGAGACACGGUCCAAACUCCUACGGGAGGCCAGCAUG
rnacentral:rRNA from 1 species